GUAGGGUUCUUCUUCUUCUUCUCUUUUUUAACAUGACUGGGAUUUUAAUUAUAUUUCUCCGUCUCUCACAAAUUUAAAAAAUUGCUCUUCAUUGUUCACUGCAGAUGAUUCAUUAGAACUAUUUUUGAACAACAUAGGUUUAAUUUUGUAGCAGUGAUACGCAGACUCCUCUUUGACGGAGAAUGUCUCUCCUCCAUGUAAUGCAAAUCUGUGAAAUAAAUCGGUUAAAUUUUUUAGGUUGAGUAGUUGUUUCAGUUGUCUCAGGUUUCGAAGUGUCUUUAAAAGGAUGGCAUAUGCUCUAAUUCAAUGACUGAUUUGAACUGACAAAGAAAUGAUAAUCACAAUAUUUUCAAUCUUAGAGCAAUCUCAGUCACACUUACCAACUGGUUUGCCUAAAAUCAGAACUGGAAUUCAAAGCUCAUCUGAGAGUUUGAAGAAAAUAGAAGGAAAUAUUUUAGUUGGAAAAAAGGCAAUAGCAGAUGCUGGAUACUUCAUAUGAGAACUGACUCUUUGUUUGUGUGUAAUCAGCAGGUUCUGUGAAAUGUGGUGUGGAGCAGAUCAUAUUCAUAUAGAUCAUAAUCAUACUAUAAAGGUCUUUGAUUACCGUAAAUGAACUUGAAAAUCAUAUAAAGAUCUUACAUGAAGAGCUGGAAAAGCGGGCACAAGUUUUUGAAGGUGAUUAGGAAGUACUUAUAAGUACUAAAGUUGAGCAGGAAAAGAGAGUCAUAAAAGCAGAGAAAGCCCUGAGAAAAGCGAGCCAUAAAAGUAGAGGAAGCCCUGAGAAAAGCACAAUGCUAGAAUGUAAAUACAGCCGAGAGAUUGCAAAAGGAAUCACUUUAGAUGUGAAUGAUGAGCUAGCUACAAAAGCACUGACUGAAGCAAAUGAAUUUCAUCUAGUGAAAAACUAUCUAGAGGAAAUGCUCCAUCAAGCCACGAAAGAGGUUAAGUCAGUUAAGGGGUUUAUGAAAGAAUUUAAACCAAAUACUUUCCAAGUCAAAACAAAUGGAACAGGUACCAUCAGAGACAUAGUGAAUAUGCAGGAACUUAAAGAAAGCUUGCUGAUGAAACUCACAUGCUCCUUUCAGAAGAAAUCUUAAUGCUGCAGUCUGAAAUUGAAAUACUUGCAAAAGAAAACAGUGUAUUCUCUGAGCAGAAAAGGCAGAAUGAUAAUUUGAAAGUUGAGCUAAAUCAUAAUCAUCUCUAAUUAUAUAUUCACAUUUUAUGAUCAUUUAAAAAUGAUUAAAUGUAAUUGUUAAAUUAAAUCAGAA